rnacentral:rRNA from 1 species
UUUACACCAUGUGCACUUUUUGUAGGUCAAUGGCCUAUGUUUAUAUUAUAUGCUCUAGGAAUUCAGAAUGUAUUGAAUCAAUUGAUAAUAAUACAACUUUCAACAACGGAUCUCUUGGCUCUCGCAUCGAUGAAGAACGCAGCGAAAUGCGAUAAGUAAUGUGAAUUGCAGAAUUCAGUGAAUCAUCGAAUCUUUGAACGCACCUUGCGCACCUUGGUAUUCCGAGGAGCAUGCCUGUUUGAGUAUCAUCAAAUCCUCAAUCCUUAUUUAAAGGCUUUGGACUUUGGAGUGUUGCUGGUCUUUGAAUCGGCUCCUCUUAAAUGUAUUAGCUUGGACUUUUUGCUUGAUAAGCUUUAGUAAUAUCUAUGCUUUGAAGCAAGAAAUGCCAGCUUCAAAUUGAAACCCUUUU